rnacentral:rRNA from 1 species
CCUACGGGGGGCUGCAGUGGGGAAUAUUGGACAAUGGGCGAAAGCCUGAUCCAGCCAUGCCGCGUGUGUGAAGAAGGCCUUCGGGUUGUAAAGCACUUUCAGUGGGGAAGAAAGCCUUGGGGCUAAUACCCUCGAGGAAGGACAUCACCCACAGAAGAAGCACCGGCUAACUCCGUGCCAGCAGCCGCGGUAAUACGGAGGGUGCGAGCGUUAAUCGGAAUUACUGGGCGUAAAGCGCGCGUAGGCGGUCUGAUAAGGCGGUUGUGAAAGCCCCGGGCUCAACCUGGGAACGGCAUCCGGAACUGUCAGGCUAGAGUGCAGGAGAGGAAGGUAGAAUUCCCGGUGUAGCGGUGAAAUGCGUAGAGAUCGGGAGGAAUACCAGUGGCGAAGGCGGCCUUCUGGACUGACACUGACGCUGAGGUGCGAAAGCGUGGGUAGCAAACAGGAUUAGAUACCCUUGUAGUC